UGGAUUAGGCAUGCAAGUCGAACGAGGGAGUAUUCCGAAAGGGGUACAAACCGAGUGGCGUAAGGGUGAGUAAUGCAUUGAUAACCUACCUUUGAGAUGGGAACAACAGCGUUCCAAGCAAUUGGAGCUACCGAAAGGGCUGCUAAUACCCAAUAAAACUAUUAUUGCUUUGGUGAUGAUAGUCAAACAUGCGGAAUCGAAAGGUUCCAUUUGCUCAAAGAGGGGUCAAUGUCCUAUCAGCUUGUUGGUGGGGUAACGGCCUACCAAGGCGAAGACGGGUAGCCGGCCUGAGAGGGUGGUCGGCCACACUGGGACUGAGACACUGCCCAGACUCCUACGGGAGGCUGCAGUCGAGAAUCUUUCGCAAUGCCCGAAAGGGUGACGAAGCGACGCCGCGUGCGGGAAGAAGGCCCUCGGGUUGUAAACCGCUGUCGGGAGUUAGGAAAUGCAAGGAUGUUAAUAGCAUUCUUGCUUGACUAAGGCUCCGGAGGAAGCCACGGCUAACUCUGUGCCAGCAGCCGCGGUAAUACAGAGGCGGCAAGCGUUGUUCGGAAUUAUUGGGCGUAAAGAGCACGUAGGCGGCUGUGUAAGUCGGUUGUGAAAGCCUUCCGCUUAACGGAAGAACGGCAUCCGAUACUGCAUAGCUUGAGUGCGGGAGGGGAGAGUGGAACUUCUGGUGGAGCGGUGAAAUGCGUAGAUAUCAGAAGGAACACCGGCGGCGAAGGCGACUCUCUGGUCCGUAACUGACGCUGAGUGUGCGAAAGCUAGGGGAGCAAACGGGAUUAGAUACCCCGGUAGUCCUAGCCGUAAACGAUGGGCACUAAGUAGAGGGGUUUUA
rnacentral:rRNA from 1 species